rnacentral:rRNA from 1 species
AUUGAACGCUGGCGGCAGGCCUAACACAUGCAAGUCGAGCGGAUGAAGGGAGCUUGCUCCUGGAUUCAGCGGCGGACGGGUGAGUAAUGCCUAGGAAUCUGCCUGGUAGUGGGGGAUAACGUCCGGAAACGGGCGCUAAUACCGCAUACGUCCUGAGGGAGAAAGUGGGGGAUCUUCGGACCUCACGCUAUCAGAUGAGCCUAGGUCGGAUUGGCUAGUUGGUGGGGUAAAGGCCUACCAAGGCGACGAUCCGUAACUGGUCUGAGAGGAUGAUCAGUCACACUGGAACUGAGACACGGUCCAGACUCCUACGGGAGGCAGCAGUGGGGAAUAUUGGACAAUGGGCGAAAGCCUGAUCCAGCCAUGCCGCGUGUGUGAAGAAGGUCUUCGGAUUGUAAAGCACUUUAAGUUGGGAGGAAGGGCAGUAAGUUAAUACCUUGCUGUUUUGACGUUACCAACAGAAUAAGCACCGGCUAACUUCGU